GGUCAAGCGAACAAGUGCAUGUGGUGGAUGCCUUGGCGAUCACAGGCGAUGAAGGACGCGGUAGCCUGCGAAAAGCUUCGGGGAGCUGGCAAACGAGCUUUGAUCCGGAGAUGUCCGAAUGGGGAAACCCGGCCCGAAUGGGUCAUCCCACACUGAAUCCAUAGGUGUGGGAAGCGAACGCGGCGAACUGAAACAUCUAAGGUACCAAUC
rnacentral:rRNA from 1 species